UACGUAGGCAGCAAGCGUUGUUCGGAAUUACUGGGCGUAAAGAGUGUGUAGGCGGUGCUCUAAGUUCGGUGUGAAAGCCCUCGGCUCAACCGGGGAAGUGCACCCGAAACUGCGUGACUAGAGUCUCGGAGAGGAUCGUGGAAUUCUCGGUGUAGAGGUGAAAUUCGUAGAUAUCGAGAGGAACACCGGUGGCGAAGGCGGCGAUCUGGACGGUGACUGACGCUGAGACGCGAAAGCGUGGGGAGCAAACAGG
rnacentral:rRNA from 1 species